rnacentral:rRNA from 1 species
AAACGACUCUCGACAACGGAUAUCUCGGCUCUCGCAUCGAUGAAGAACGUAGCGAAAUGCGAUACUUGGUGUGAAUUGCAGAAUCCCGUGAACCAUCGAGUCUUUGAACGCAAGUUGCGCCCCAAGCCGUUAGGCCGAGGGCACGCCUGCCUGGGUGUCACAC